rnacentral:misc_RNA from 1 species
AACGCAACUGGCGCCUGUUUACCGGCAUGCCCGUUUCUUUGUGCUUGGUGAGGAAACUAUCCUUAUAAAAUUUAAUUCGAUUGAUGUACAUUUAUGUUCUUCUUUCGUUAAAUAUUAAGGUGUGAAAUAUGAGUAAUCUCUCACACUGGCAAACGAAGUAGUCAUGCUUGUUCAUGAUCUCGAUUAACCAGUGCUAAAGGAUAUUGCUUAGCUAUAAAUCACAUCUAAUCAAUUAAAUAACUCCAAAAUUGGCAUCUGAAAUCAGAUAAGGAUACCCGCUGAACUUAA